rnacentral:rRNA from 1 species
GACGAACGCUGGCGGCGUGCCUAAUACAUGCAAGUCGAACGCAGUGGGUACGGGUUAGUAACACUUCGGUAACCUCCCAUCAGAGGGGGAAACACUUGGUAACAGGUGCUAAACCGUUACUGACGGAUGGUUCCGCGGUGCAUUAGCUAGUUGGUGAGGAAACGGCUCACCAAGGCCACGAUGCAUAGCCAACCUGAGAGGGUGAUCGGCCACCUUGGGACUGAGAAACGGCCCAGACUCCUACGGAAGGAAGCAGUAGGGAACGUUCGGCAAGGGACGAAAGUCUGACCGAGAAAGGCGGCGUGAGGAAUGAAGGUUUCCGGAUCGUAAAACUCUGUGGUUAGAGAAGCGGUAUCUAACCAGAAAGCCACGGCUAACUACGUGCCAGCAGCCGCGGUAAUUC